rnacentral:rRNA from 1 species
GACAGAGGUUGCAAACGUUGUUCGGAAUUACUGGGCAUAAAGCGCACGUAGGCGGUUCGUUAAGUCAUGUGUGAAAUCCCCCGGCUCAACCGGGGAAUUGCGCCUGAUACUGGCGGGCUAGAGAUCGAUAGGGGUGAGCGGAACUCCAGGUGGAGCGGUGAAAUGCGUAGAUAUCUGGAGGAACACCGGUGGCGAAAGCGGCUCACUGGAUCGGUACUGACGCUGAGGUGCGAAAGCGUGGGGAGCAAACAGG